rnacentral:rRNA from 1 species
UUGGAGGGCAAGUCUGGUGCCAGCAGCCGCGGUAAUUCCAGCUCCAAUAGCGUAUAUUAAACUUGUUGCAGUUAAAAAGCUCGUAGUUGAAUUUCGGGAUUGACACAUCGGUCGUGCCUUAAGGGGUAUGAACUGGUGUAGUCAAUUUCUCACCUUCUGGAGAACCACGAUGCCCUUAAUUGGGUGUCGCGGGGAACCAGGACCUUUACUUUGGAAAUAUUAGAGUGUUUAAGGCAGGCAUUUUGCUUGAAUACAUUAGCAUGGAAUAAUAAAAUAGGACGGCAUGAUUCUAUUUUGUUGGUUUCUAGGAUCACCGUAAUGAUUAAUAGGGAUAGUUGGGGGCACUAGUAUUCAAUUGUCAGAGGUGAAAUUCUUGGAUUUAUUGAAGACUAACUACUGCGAAAGCAUUUGCCAAGGAUGUUUUCAUUAAUCAAGAACGAAAGUUAGGGGAUCGAAGACGAUCAGAUACCGUCGCAGUCUUAACCAUAAACUAUGCCGACUAGGAAUCAGACGAUGUUAAUUUUUUAAUGACUCGUUUGGCACCUUACGGGAAACCAAAGUGUUUGGGUUC